rnacentral:lncRNA from 1 species
AAAGUCAUUGAAAUUAAUGUGUGGUCUAAUUGGCAAAGGUAGUGUAUUGUGCAUUUAUCUGAUAUGUGUGUAUUUGUCAUGGAGUGCACAUGAAAAUUGUUGGAUUUGUGAGAUGAAGCUAUAAAUGACGGUGAGGUGUCAAGAUUUUAUUGGUUAAAUGAGGACAUGAAACAUGUGGGAAAUUUAAAAGAAAUGGCAAGUGAGUAUAGGAGUGAAAAGGGAUUACGGACAGUUUUAAAUUUUAUCUUCUCCUUUUUGGCAUGUGUAUUUUCGUUCUUUUCCUUCUUUCUUCUUCUUUUAGAUUUUUUGGUUUUUUUUUCUGAUUUUCCUUUAGCUAAAUCAAAAGUAAUUACAUAAAAACACUACUCCUAAAUGAAAAAAGAAAUAUUAAGGAAAACAAAAUAACUAUCCUGUGGUCCAAAUCUAGCAAACAAAUAAUCCAAGGAUAUCCAGGACUGCUCGAGACAUUUUAAAUGCUUAUUAUCUUUCAGGCCCAGGUCGCUGAGGAAUCUUGUCCUAGAGUGGUCCCGGGGAAGUAUCAUGUCCUUGCCUAUAUAGCUUAAAUGAGUGAGACCAGACAUUUCCGCUAAGGUAGGAGUCAUCUCACACUCUCCAAAUCUGAAAAUCAAAUUUUGCGGAUCCCAAUAAGUCAGCAUCGCCUCCACUAAGUCUGGGCGGGGUGUGAUAUAAAGAAUGGAAGUUAGGGUGCCCAAUUUCUGCAUUAACUCAUGAUGCUCUAACGAUGAAAACAUUUUCCACCACUUGAUCAACUUCCUAGGAAUCUUUACUACCAUCAGCACUUUGGAAUCAGUGGGUCCAUACCUGAAUGAAGCAAACAUGGUUAGCGACUCGGGACACUACGUGACCCUACCACAUUUCCUAGUGGACAAAUGCAGGACACAACUUGGCUAUAUUUGCAAAAUGGCCUAAGUGGCUGAAAGUGGCUAUUUCCGCAAACUUGAGAAAGUUGACCCCUAAUGCAUGAGAGAUACUCUAUUUAAAGCUUACAUGACUCUAAUAUCCCGACAAUCAUGGUCUUAAAAAUUACUUUGCAAAAAUGGACCCUUUUUUUUGCAAAAAUGGCUGAUGUGGCCAAAUGUGGCUAGGACGCAAACACGACGUGGAUGGACCUUAAAGCGAUAUGACAUCGAGUUAUAAACUCAAGAUCCUAAGACAUGGGUAAUUGAGCCCCUCUUGCAAAAAUAACCCUAUUUUGCAAGAAUGGCCGAUGUGGCCAAAAGUGGCUAGACAUGCAAAUUUGACAGGAAUGAACCUUAGAAUUAAGAGGACACUUUAUUGUAGACUCAAGAUCCUAAGACAAGAGAUAACAAACUACUUUGAGAAAACACUUUUAUUUUUGCAAAAACGGCCAAUGUGGCCAAAUAUGGCUAUACAUGCAAGAUUUGGCUACGACCCCGGAAGCCAAGAACCUAGGACCUAAUAGGAAGACCGGACCCGAUGUGUGUUGCCUACGUAUCCCUCCCCAGAAGAUGAAAAUCAGGUUCGCGUAGUUCGGGAAGAUUGGUCAUGGGAUAAAGCCUUUUUAUAAAAAUGCAACUAAUUUGGAAAAACCAUAUUUUUUGUCUUUUUGAGAAAUGAUGGAAAAUGUAAACUCUUUUUGGAUUUUCUUUUCUCCUUUUUUUGAAUUUUUGGAAAAUGAUGGAAAAUGUAAAAUCUUUUGGAUUUUCAUUUUUUUUUCAAUUUAUUUUUGAUUUUUGGAAAAUUAUGAAAGAAAAAUGCGAGUGGGCCCUACUAGCUUCACUUUUCACCCUUCUUUCCAAGACAUCGGUCCACCAAAUGACCCUUUUACCCUCACAGAUGCAACAUUUAGCACAUAGGAUGAUUAACUGUCAUUUUGGGCCACGAGCCCAUUUUGACAAAAUUUGGACAGGCUUCCUACAAAGGGACACGGUACCUGGGACCGAGCCCUACUAGGUCUAAAUGACAUAAUGCAAAUAAAAAUGAUCUGAAGACUGACCUAAGUUUGGAGUUCACUAACAAGGCAAUUCGGGGGAGCGUAUGGUCGAUGGUGGCUGCUCAAGCUUUCCACCCACUCCAUAUGUCCGACGGCCCCCCCCCCUCCUAAAUUAAGGGUGACUCAACAAAGAGUUCGUGCACGUGACGCGUACUCCGAGACUUGUUGCAGAAAGAAGACCCAUGGUUAUGCACAUGAUGACAGUUUAUAAAACAGUAACACAUUAAGAAAAACGAUAAACAAAUAACCAACAAAACAAGGAAAUAAGACAAACAAAGCAAAUAAACAAAGCAAAUAAAGAAAACAAACACCUCAACUGAAUAUCCUAAAAGCCAACAAGAUAAAAUACCAGCUCGAACUUGCAGUUCCCUAGCAGAGUCGCCAGAGAUGUCACACCCCUUUUUUAACCACACUUCACUUAACCCUCUUAAAUCAAUAAAAAGAUUUAGUAAAGCUUGAAAAGGGUUUUCCAAUUAGAACGUGACAAAAAUUGUAUUCAAAAGGAAAUAACUCAGAGUCGCCACCUGACUUUGAUUUCGGUGUGCCAGGUCACCGUUUUUAAAAUGAUUUUUUCCUUUUAAAACAUUUCAGACUCUAAAACCAAGUUUGCACUAUAGAUUCGGGUAAGGGGGUCCAUUUGACUUGGGGAGAAGGUGUUAGGCACUCCCUAAAUGCCGUAACUAGUACGGUUGCGCACUCGAUCAAAUUGGCUUUUAAAAUAUUCAAUUGAGGUAAAAAUAAACAUGGAAAAGCAAAUAAACACACGAGGCUCGAGGUCGUCCCCACCUAAUAAAAAAUAAAAAAUACAAAUAAAAAUAAAAAUAAAAUACUACGAGUUCUACUUUCGUCCUCCAAAUACAAAUACUUCGGGGCAUUCCCCAGAUAAAGAUAUAUACAAAUCUUUCGGGGCAUUCCCCGUAUAAAUUUAACUAAGGGGAACGACCUCUUACCUCAAAAUUGACAAAAUCCCUAAAGUUUGCCUAUCCAAGUGUGGUCGGCCUAAGCAUACUCCUACCGAUCAAAGUAACAAAGCGAAAGUAAAGAACAAAAAUAAUGCAAAGCUCAAAUUACUAUUAAAAAAAUCCAAACGGCUAUUUAGAUCAAAUUUUGAAGCCCAAUAUUAUUUGUUCUAUUAAUCCAAUCCCGCGGCGUCUCGAACAAUUCAGUUUUCUUUAUUUAUCAAUAAAACAAAUUCAGAACCUAUCUAACUACAAUCUCAAUCCAGCAACAUCAUCAAGAGAACAAUUCAAUGUCAAAUCAUGAAAAUGCAGCAAACAUGAGCAGUUAAACCCAAAUAACUAAGAAAAAGUAAAGCAACAUGAUAUAGUCCAUAAAAGAAUAAAGCAAAUCUUCACAAGUAAUUAAAACAAUAACAUUAAGGGGAAAGAAGAGAUGGACCUCCAACAGCCUUUAAUGAUUCUAUGUUUGGAAAUAUAAGCAAAAGCCAAUGCGGGGACUCGNAGCAAAAUCGGAAUAAGCCAACAGGAAUCCGCAGACCAACUCGAACAAACUGGGAACCUUGACUCCUCGAAUGCGCACCAGAUCUCAAGCAUAACCCAUUUUCAUUUCACUUGCUCAUCCAAAUCUAAUUUUUGGAAGAAAAAAAAAAGAAGAAACUAACGUAGUUUUUGUGUGAUUUUUUUAUCUGAAUGGCUAAAGAUCUGUUGGAUUUCAAUGGAGAAAAAUGAAGUUUAGCUAUGAUGGAAAGCUCAUUUCUGAACUCAGGUGAUGCGGCGCAAGGAAUUUUCUCGCCUUUCCUCUGGCUCUCUCGUCCUCUCUGUCACUCUUUGUGCGUUAUCCUUCAGAUCUGUGUCCUCCACUCUCUUUUCUCUCACUAUUUUUUUUUCUGUUUCUGUUUUUUUUUUCUCUUUUUAGAGGAAGCCCCCCCCUCCCCAAUUGAAUUAGUGGCUUGGGGAAGGAGCCAGACCCCAAAACGUGUGGGCCCCAUUAUUUUUGUGUAUAAAAAAAGUCCUUGAAAUUAACGUGGGGUCUAAUUGGCAAGGGUAGCGUGUUGUGCAUUUAUCUGAUAUGUGUGUAUUUGUCAUGGAGUACACAUGAAAAUUGUUGGAUUUGUGAGAUGAAACUAUAAAGGACGGUGAGGUGUCAAGAUUUUAUUGGUUAAAUGAGGACAUGAAACAUGUGGGAAAUUUAAAAGAAAUGGCAAGUGAGUAUAGGAGUGAAAAGGG